rnacentral:tRNA from 1 species
GGGCUCGUAGCUCAGUUGGCUAGAGCGUUGGCUGUACUUAAGCCUUCCCCUUACUGGCGUGGGUUCGAAUCCCACUCAGGUCU